rnacentral:ribozyme from 1 species
CUCCAACGACGAACUCGCACCUCAUCGCGGUGUUGGAGUCUAGUAGCCGUAAUGGUGAAGCUAAGAUGAGU